AACCGUCGAUAUUUGGUCCCAAGUCCCAACAUUUUCGAAUGGAUUUCCGUUUCUGUGUUUUUUUUUUUUUUAAAUAUGAAUUAGAGAUGUUUUUAUCCGUUUUACAGUGUGCUUUCAAUUUGUAUACAAUUUAGGUUUUGUUUGGUUAUAUUAUUUAAAAAGAAAACUGAUGAAAUUUAAUAUUGUUGGCAAAAGUGAAGCAAUUAAUCAACGUUUUAAGAAAUGAAAGCGAAACAAAAUGACCGGUUCUCAUUUCUGAUUACCAUCCCAAUAAU
rnacentral:lncRNA from 1 species